UUCUGGUACAUUUUUGGUAGUUUGUGGGAAAGCAAUCAUUAUGUAUGCUGAGAUCUUCAGCACUGAACUACUUUAUAUAAAACUUUAUAAUAAUAUAUUGGAUUUCCUCCUCUUUGUAUGUGGUAUCAUCAUUACCUUUAUCCAUAACUAUAAUUUUGUUGUGGUUCCUUCUCUAUGUGUCUUUUUGAUGGAAAAACUUCGUAUUUCCGUCUCCCUCUUUUAUCCAGUGGAUUUUAGCUCGCUGGGCCCACCAUAUUUCUUCAUGUUGAAGCAGGACAUCCAUUUUCAUUUAAGUCUCCUGGAGUUAUAUCCUAUUCCUGUUUCAGAUAUUAUCAUCUUGUAGAUACUUAUGAUAUUGUUUGAGUUUUAUAAUUUCUUUAGAGGGAUUGGCAUAAUUUGUAGUUCCCCAAUUCCAAAGGGUAUUCAGAGAGUAGGAUAACUUGUGGUUUAUAUCAUGGUUGUUGUUUGAGUUCUAAGUUCCAGCUAUAAUAUUGUUUCCAGAGAUUCCUACCAAAUAUUAUAAAACCUUUUAGGCUUAUUUAUUGCCCUCAUUUUCCUGCACUGAUACUGGCUUUCUUGAAAAGUGAGGAGGAUAUGGUUAUGAUCUGAGUUAUAUCUAGGAAGGUGAGAGUUAUUGAACUGAGGGAACCUAUUCUUCCACCCUGGAGUCACCAUGAAUCUAUCCAAUCUGGCUGAUAUACAAUUAUCACCUUGUUGUUUGUUGCUCCAAGUAACCAUAUUGCCUUCAUAACCUAGAUCAACCAUAUUACAAGCAUUAAAAGUAUCAAAAGUAACAUGUUUUAAUAGUAGUAGUUAAGUUCAAAUCCCCAAAGAUAAGCCAGUUAGGAUGGUUAUGUCUUUGGGCAAGUUUUUUUUUAUCAUACGUAAGACUUUUUUUAUUGGACUUAGGGUAGACGUAGAUGGUAGUCCCUCUCCAAAGAGUAUUAUCACUAUUAUUCUUAUCAACAUUAUUAUUAUGAGUCAACAUAUAGUAGUCAAUAUAGUUUUUAUUAUAAUAAAUGAUAUUGAGAUUAACAUCAGUACUCCACAUAAGAGCCAACCCCUAACCCUCCAUGUCCCAUCAUUGCCACUACUUAUGCUAAACACGUUGGUUAAAAAGCCAAUUCUAGAGAGAUUAUUGAAAAUCACAUCAUUGUUAUUAUUUUUAGUUUCAGAAAAAAAACUGAAUAUUAGGAGAGUAAGGUCUUAUCAAGUGUUUUAGAGCUCUGAUCGUUUGGAGGUUUCCCAACCCCCUGCAAUUCCAAGCCAUGAUCCUCAUCCCUCUGUGGCUUCUUUGUCAGAUAGGCAGGCCAAAAUUGUUGAACAUUAGUUGUAGUUCUGGUUGUAUUGACAUUAUUGUCUUCCCACUCAAUGAGUCUCAUUUUAUUGUUCUAGAUUGAGUGAGAACUCUCAGCUUCCUUGCCAUACUUUUGGUCUUCCUUCAAGGAUAUAGAUGUCAUCUGCUUAAUCAUCAUUUUAGGGAUUGGGCUGUAAAGACUCAUAUUAGGUUUGUUGGUCAGAUUACUGUUGAAUUUCCUCUUCUCAAUGUAAAUAUGUUUUCUUCCCGGUUGAUUGGCUUUAAGCCAUCGGCCUAACAUAAUGACUUCUGUUAUGCCAUGGAUCAGAGCAUUGAUUUGUUUACAGAAAUCAUCACUAUGCCCCAUGAGACCAUAAUAUAAGAAAAAUAGUGGCGGAUUUUUGUAACUAAAUUCUAUCCAAGUUAUGUCAUUAUUCUUGCUACUUGUAUACAUACCGAGGCUAAUGAGGGUUUGGGUGUUCAAAUUGAUUAUGACCUUUAAAAUCGUGGUCUUAUCAUGCAUAUCAUAGAUCCCAACCUCUAUAACUUCUCUAAUUUUCCCUUCUAACUUCAACCCUAUCUGGGUAGUUUUAACGUUUGUAGGUAGGCCCCAAAUUAGAGCUUUAGAGAAAUCUAGUUUGUUGACAGCACUUCUUCCAUCCCAUUACUGCAUAAAGAGCUAAGAAUUUAUGAAUAGCUAAGGGAUACCUUUUAGAAUAUGUUUGUGAUCUUCGAUUUUUUCCAUGGUGAACUUGAAGAUAUUUGGUUCCACUUCUUGGACUAAAAGAUUCUUAGGGUUACACCAAAUGCUCAUAAGGGUUGUUUACAGGGAUCUUUUGUGAAUAGGUUUUUCUGUAACUAUCUUUCCUAGGAUACUGAUUGUGGGUUCUAGUACUUCUUGGAUUUCUUCCGAAGAAACCAAUGACCGGCUUAGCAUCUUGCUUUUCUUUUUUCGUUGUCUCCAUGUUGAUGUUUUUCUUAGUGAUGGGACUGGGACCAUUUGUCGAGCAGAAUUCGUGCUUGUACCAAUGUAUUCCAUGGCAACACAGAUGACACCGGGGAGCAAACCAGGUAUAACAAAAUGCAGAACAAGCUUGCUAACACCAGAUGCAAGGACACACCAGCCAAGGAAAUAACCCAAAAUAGGAGACGAGCCAAGAAACAAACAAGAAUCACAAAUAAAUAAGAGGUGAAACAAACAAGGACUUAAAGGACAAAGGACGAGCCAGAGGGAAGAAAUUGCACAAACACAAAUGCGAAGAAAACAAAAUGAACACCUAGGGAUCACACACAAGUGGAGAAAUAGGAUAACCGCCAAUCAUGAACAAAGUCGUAUGAGGGUGAAGAAAGGAUUGAAAGGAUCAAUCAAGCAAUAGUUCUUGGAACUUUUUUUGGGCACAUUUUCGCUCCAAUGAAAGAUUAAAAAAACUCAAUUUUAUGGAAUCUUCUUCAGAAAGUUAACAAGUGUAUGAACCAACUUUUAUGCCUUUAAAUAUGUGAAAAAUAUAUGAUCGAUGUUUGAUUUUAUAUUCAAGGUUAUUUUGAUUUUUCAAGUUUAA